GAUGAACGCUGGCGGCGUGCCUAACACAUGCAAGUCGAGCGAACGGACGAGAAGCUUGUUGCUCUGACGUUAGCGGCGGACGGGAGAGUAACACGUGGAUAACCUACCUAUAAGACUGGGAUAACUACGGGAAACCGGAGCUAAUACCGGAGAAUAUUUUGAACCGCAUGGGUCAAAAGUGAAAGACGGUCUUGCUGUCAGUUAUAGCUGGAUCCGGGCUGCAUUAGAUGGUUGGUAAGGUAACGGCUUACCAAGGCAACGAGGCAUAGGCGACCUGUGAGGCGGAUCGGCCACCUGAGAGGUGAGCCGCGCUCCAGACGACUACGGUACGCAGCAGUAGGGUAUGUUCGGCAAUGGUCGAAAGCCUGACGGAGCGACGCCGAGUGAGUGGUAAAGAUCUUGCGAUCGUGAUACUCUGUUAUGAGGGAAAAACAUAUGUGUAAGUAACUGUGGACAGCUUGACGGUACCUGAUCAGAAAGCAACGGCUAACUACGUG
rnacentral:rRNA from 1 species